UUCAUGGACGGUGCGAUUCUGAAAGCAAGGUUGGCUCAUCUGAGGAUUCAGAAGCUGAUCGAUACUCCGAUUAUGGCUGGGGAGGACCCUCAUCGCCAUUUAACUGAGUUGGAAAAUGAAGCCACAAUGCUGGAGGCGUGGAGUUUGCUUAAUAAACAACUUUGAGGUGGAAUAAGCCUUGAGUUUUAGCUGGACUGUCAGUGAGGCUGUAUGUGUUUCCUUAUGG
rnacentral:sRNA from 1 species